rnacentral:rRNA from 1 species
ACGAACGCUGGCGGCGUGCUUCACCCAUGCAAGUCGAACGGAAAGGCCCUGCUUUUGUGGGGUGCUCGAGUGGCGAACGGGUGAGUAACACGUGAGUAACCUGCCCUUGACUUUGGGAUAACUUCAGGAAACUGGGGCUAAUACCGGAUAGGAGCUCCUGCUGCAUGGUGGGGGUUGGAAAGUUUCGGCGGUUGGGGAUGGACUCGCGGCUUAUCAGCUUGUUGGUGGGGUAGUGGCUUACCAAGGCUUUGACGGGUAGCCGGCCUGAGAGGGUGACCGGCCACAUUGGGACUGAGAUACGGCCCAGACUCCUACGGAAGGCAGCAGUGGGGAAUAUUGCACAAUGGGCGGAAGCCUGAUGCAGCAACGCCGCGUGCGGGAUGACGGCCUUCGGGUUGUAAACCGCUUUCGCCUGUGACGAAGCGUGAGUGACGGUAAUGGGUAAAGAAGCACCGGCUAACUACGUG